rnacentral:rRNA from 1 species
GGGUUGUGAGGUUAAGCGACUAAGCGUACACGGUGGAUGCCCUGGCAGUCAGAGGCGAUGAAGGACGUGCUAAUCUGCGAUAAGCGCCGGUAAGGUGAUAUGAACCGUUAUAACCGGCGAUUUCCGAAUGGGGAAACCCAGUGUGACUCGUCACACUAUCAUUAACUGAAUCCAUAGGUUAAUGAGGCGAACCGGGGGAACUGAAACAUCUAAGUACCCCGAGGAAAAGAAAUCAACCGAGAUUCCCCCAGUAGCGGCGAGCGAACGGGGAGGAGCCCAGAGCCUGAAUCAGCAUGUGUGUUAGUGGAAGCGUCUGGAAAGGCGCGCGAUACAGGGUGACAGCCCCGUACACAAAAGCGCAUGUGCUGUGAGCUCGAUGAGUAGGGCGGGACACGUGGUAUCCUGUCUGAAUAUGGGGGGACCAUCCUCCAAGGCUAAAUACUCCUGACUGACCGAUAGUGAACCAGUACCGUGAGGGAAAGGCGAAAAGAACCCCGGCGAGGGGAGUGAAAAAGAACCUGAAACCGUGUACGUACAAGCAGUGGGAGCACCCUUUGGGGUGUGACUGCGUACCUUUUGUAUAAUGGGUCAGCGACUUAUAUUCUGUAGCAAGGUUAACCG